rnacentral:rRNA from 1 species
GAAAGCCUGACGCAGCGACGCCGCGUGGAGGAUGACGGUUUUCGGAUUGUAAACUCCUGUUAAGCGGGAAGAAAGGCUGGUCUCUAAUAUAGACCAGAGAUGACGGUACCGCUAGAGAAAGCACCGGCUAAACUUCGUGCCAGCAGCCGCGGUAAUACGAGGGGGCCAAACGUUAUUUCGGGAUAAACUGGGCGUAAAGGGUGUGUAGACGGGAGCAUUUAAGUUUGUUGUUAAAUCUUUCGGCCUAACCGAAAGCUUGCGAUGAAAACUAAUGUUCUUGAGGGUGAAAGAGAGAAGUGGAAUUCUCGGAGUAGCGGUAAAAUGCGUAGAUAUCGAGAGGAACACCGAUGGCGAAGGCAGCUUCUUGGUUCACUCCUGACGUUGAGACACGAAAGCGUGGGUAGCAAACAGGAUUAGAUACCCUGGUAGUCCACGCCGUAAACAAUGAUCACUGGAUGUCAGCUUUGCUUAGCAAGGUUGGUAUCGAAGCUAACGCGUUAAGUGAUCCGCCUGGGAAUUACGGUCGCAAGAUUAAAACUCAAAGGAAUUGACGGGGGUCCGCACAAGCGGUGGAACAUGUGGUUUAAUUCGACACUACGCGAGGAACCUUACCUGGACUUGACAUGCUUUUGGCAGACAUGGAAACAUGUUUUUCUAAGCUUCGGUUUAGACAGGAGCACAGGUGCUGCAUGGCUGUCGUCAGCUCGUGUCGUGAGAUGUUUGGUUAAGUCCUCUAACGAGCGCAACCCUUGCCGCCAGUUGCUAUUUGUCUUCGGGCAAAGCACUCUGGUGGGACUGCCUGGGAAACCAGGAGGAAGGUGGGGAUGACGUCAAGUCAUCAUGGUCCUUAUGUCCAGGGCUACACACGUGUUACAAUGGUCGAUACAAAGAGGUGCGAUACCGCGAGGUGGAGCAAAUCUCAUAAAGUCGAUCUAAGUUCGGAUUGGGGUCUGCAACUCGACCCCAUGAAGUUGAAAUCGCUAGUAAUCGUAUAUCAGCAACGAUACGGUGAUACGUUCUCGGACCUGUACACACCGCCCGUCACACCACGAAAGCUGUUUGUACCCAAAGCUGUUUUAGCCAACCUGUAAAGGAGGCGGACAGU